rnacentral:rRNA from 1 species
GACGAACGCUGGCGGCGUGCUUAACACAUGCAAGUCGAACGGAAAGGCCCUGCUUUUGUGGGGUGCUCGAGCGGCGAACGGGUGAGCAACACGUGAGUAACCUGCCCUUGACUUUGGGAUAACUUCAGGAAACUGGGGCUAAUACCGGAUAGGAGCUCCUGCUGCAUGGUGGGGGUUGGAAAGUUUCGGCGGUUGGGGAUGGACUCGCGGCUUAUCAGCUUGUUGGUGGGGUAGUGGCUUACCAAGGCUUUGACGGGUAGCCGGCCUGAGAGGGUGACCGGCCACAUUGGGACUGAGAUACGGCCCAGACUCCUACGGGAGGCAGCAGUGGGGAAUAUUGCACAAUGGGCGGAAGCCUGAUGCAGCAACGCCGCGUGCGGGAUGACGGCCUUCGGGUUGUAAACCGCUUUCGCCUGUGACGAAGCGUGAGUGACGGUAAUGGGUAAAGAAGCACCGGCUAACUACGUGCCAGCAGCCGCGGUGAUACGUAGGGUGCGAGCGUUGUCCGGAUUUAUUGGGCGUAAAGGGCUCGUAGGUGGUUGAUCGCGUCGGAAGUGUAAUCUUGGGGCUUAACCCUGAGCGUGCUUUCGAUACGGGUUGACUUGAGGAAGGUAGGGGAGAAUGGAAUUCCUGGUGGAGCGGUGGAAUGCGCAGAUAUCAGGAGGAACACCAGUGGCGAAGGCGGUUCUCUGGGCCUUUCCUGACGCUGAGGAGCGAAAGCGUGGGGAGCGAACAGGCUUAGAUACCCUGGUAGUCCACGCUGUAAACGGUGGGUACUAGGUGUGGGGUCCAUUCCACGGGUUCCGUGCCGUAGCUAACGCUUUAAGUACCCCGCCUGGGGAGUACGGCCGCAAGGCUAAAACUCAAAGGAAUUGACGGGGCCCCGCACAAGCGGCGGAGCAUGCGGAUUAAUUCGAUGCAACGCGUAGAACCUUACCUGGGUUUGACAUGGAUCGGGAGUGCUCAGAGAUGGGUGUGCCUCUUUUGGGGUCGGUUCACAGGUGGUGCAUGGCUGUCGUCAGCUCGUGUCGUGAGAUGUUGGGUUAAGUCCCGCAACGAGCGCAACCCUUGUUCACUGUUGCCAGCACGUUAUGGUGGGGACUCAGUGGAGACCGCCGGGGUCAACUCGGAGGAAGGUGGGGAUGACGUCAAGUCAUCAUGCCCCUUAUGUCCAGGGCUUCACGCAUGCUACAAUGGCUGGUACAGAGAGUGGCGAGCCUGUGAGGGUGAGCGAAUCUCGGAAAGCCGGUCUCAGUUCGGAUUGGGGUCUGCAACUCGACCUCAUGAAGUCGGAGUCGCUAGUAAUCGCAGAUCAGCAACGCUGCGGUGAAUACGUUCCCGGGGCU